CGAGUCUUAAUUGGGCGUUAAGUUGCAGGGUAUAGACCCGAAACCCGGUGAUCUAGCCAUGGGCAGGUUGAAGGUUGGGUAACACUAACUGGAGGACCGAACCGACUAAUGUUGAAAAAUUAGCGGAUGACCUGUGGCUGGGGGUGAAAGGCCAAUCAAACCGGGAGAUAGCUGGUUCUCCCCGAAAGCUAUUUAGGUAGCGCCUCGUGAAUUCAUCUCCGGGGGUAGAGCACUGUUUCGGCUAGGGGGCCAUCCCGGCUUACCAACCCGAUGCAAACUGCGAAUACCGGAGAAUGUUAUCACGGGAGACACACGGCGGGUGCUAACGUCCGUCGUGAAGAGGGAAACAACCCAGACCGCCAGCUAAGGUCCCAAAGUCAUGGUUAAGUGGGAAACGAUGUGGGAAGGCCCAGACAGCCAGGAUGUUGGCUUAGAAGCAGCCAUCAUUUAAAGAAAGCGUAAUAGCUCACUGGUCGAGUCGGCCUGCGCGGAAGAUGUAACGGGGCUAAACCAU
rnacentral:rRNA from 3 species